rnacentral:lncRNA from 1 species
AGCCAGCACAGCUUCAGUUACAAUUAUGCAGCAUAAUUCCCUGCGAUAGAAGGGUAGUGACAAUAAUAAAUUCAAAUGCAUUCAGAUAAAUAAUUUUAAAGCAAAUGCACAUUGCUGGAGGAUAUUCACCAAGCAGACAAAAAAAAAAAAAAAAAAAAAAAAAAAAAAAAAAAAAAAAAAAAAAAAAAAAAAAAAAAAAAAAGCCCAGUAGCCUAAUAUGUUAUUUCUUGGGAAUAGUUCUUUCUGCCCUCAGGCUGAUAUAUUCUUUGGGAACACUUUAAUGCAGUUCCUAUAAUUAGUGAGUACUUCACAAUCACCUUCCAGAGAAUUAUAUCUUUCUGUAACACUCUCUGCGUGUGCUUUGAAGGCAUCGAAGCAUACAAGGUUCUUGUCUCAGCAGAAGAAAGGCUGCAGGGCAGAACCGGGGCAGGGGGCUUUACAGCGUUGCCAGGAGGCACCAGCUCGGUUUCCCUGCAGCAGGCACAUCUCUCCUCUUUGAGAAACACUGAACUGUUAGGCUUGACUAAGCCAAGUGCCUGUCCUAGGCUGUCUUAAAAGAUCACUUGGUUAUGCUGGAGAAGACAAAAAUUAAACUGGACUGAAACCAUCACCACUAGUGGCUUUUAUUUUAAGGAAAAAAGAUUAGAAACUAAGCCUUGACCUCCAAUGCCAAUUUCAAACAUCCUGCUGGUUUUGAUGGAGCUAGAAUGUCACACCUGCUCAGUCUGGAAUUGCCUUGAAGUCACUCUCAACUUGCAGAUUAGUACAGUGACAAAAGAACAUACAUUUUCUCAGCAAGUCACUUUUGCUGGCAGCCCUCUAGCCCAGUCCAGUCCAGAAGCUAUCUGUAUUUAUCACCAUCUCAGGAAGAGUUGUACUGCUUCCAAAGGAGCUCUUUGCUUUUGUGCAGAAGUGCUGUCACUCCCUCAAUAUCACUUGCUUUUCUAGGAAUUCCUGUGUGAAAUUGCCCUCUGAGACAAGUGAGAAAUGAGGCCAUGUCUCAUUUAUACCUUUGAAGAGGAUGGUUCCUUACUGCCAUGAUACAAUACCUAGUUUUUAAAAGUCUUUCAGUUACUUACAUUUUCAUGCUCAAAAUUGCUGUGGUAGAGGUGAAGAAUCUUGGAAUAAUGACUAUGACACAACUUUUAAAAAUCCCUCAAGUAGUUAAUUACAUUCCUGGAGAGCUGGAGUAAUAACAGGAAUAUCCGAGUUGCAAUAAAAAUGUAAGAAGAUUUUUAGAAGGUCA